UGGUGUGGACACUGCAAAUAACUAGCCGCAAUCUUAGAAGAAGUGGCUUUCUAAUUCGAGUAUGAUCCAGGUGUUAACCAUCGCAAAACUCGAUGGAACCAAAAACGACAUUCCAAGCGAGUCAUUUGAUGUUAAAAGGUUACAAGACCCGAACUGAUCUUUAAAUCAUCAAGUGGUAAACUUGUGCAACAUGAAAGACACAUGACAAAGGAGGACUUGAUUAAGUUCAUUUAAAAGAAUCACGUAGUCACUUUCAAGUUGACUUCUUCGACGGACUUUAAAGAAAUCUUGUUUUUUUUUCACUCUUAUGUAGUUG
rnacentral:lncRNA from 1 species